rnacentral:rRNA from 1 species
CGCGGUACCCUAACCGUGCGAAGGUAGCAUAAUCGCUUGUUCUUUAAAUGAGGACUUGUAUCAACGGCACUACGAGGGCUAUACUGUCUCCUUUUUCUAAUCAGUGAAACUGAUCUCCCCGUGAAGAAGCGGGGAUCAAGAUAUAAGACGAGAAGACCCCAUGGAGCUUUAAACUUACCACCCACCUCUGUGGUACCACACCAUUCAACACAAGAGACCUGCGUGCUAGUUUUAGGUUGGGGGGACCACGGAGUAUAAUUAAACCUCCACAACAAAUGGGCUAAUACCCUUAUCCACGAGACACAACUCUAAGAAUUACUAAACUAAUGCUUAUGACCCGAUAUUCGAUCAAUGAACCAAGUUACCCUGGGGAUAACAGCGCAAUCUACUUCAAGAGCCCCUAUCGACAAGUAGGUUUACGACCUCGAUGUUGGAUCAGGGUAUCCCGGUGGUGCAGCCGCUACCGAUGGUUCGUUUGUUCAACGAUUAAAACCCUACGUGAUCUGA